AGGGAAAAUAUAUGUAUGGGAAAUCCAGUCCAGCCCUCCUGUCCUCAUUUCGAGGCUAUCUCAUGUGCAAUCAAAAUCUGCAAUUAGACAGACUGCAAUGUCCUUCGAUGGAAGCACCAUUCUUUGCUGCUGUGAGGACGGGACAAUAUGGCGGUGGGAUGUUGUAGCAAGUUCUUGAAAAUGUCCAUAGGAGAAGGGCCAUUGAAGGUGUGAAAUACACUUUCAUGGUUGACUAAAUCGUGUUCCAUAUGUUGAAGUUCUGUGAGUCGUGCUUGAUCACAGAUGCAAAGUAUUGCAACAAACGAAUCUGCAGCCAAAGCAUUGUACGUAGCAUCUGAAUGAUGGAAAUCUUGGGUUGCAUCAACAUGUUAACCGUCUUUCUGUGUGUAUCAUGGACGUGCUGCAUAAUUUAUUUAGUUACACAAGGAAAACAGUUAGUCCUCGUUUGAGCCACAUUAUUGUAAAAGUGAAAAUGAAAAAUAUAGUCGUUAUGGGCUCCACACAAGAGCUAAAAAGUCAAAUAUGAUGGCUUGAUGUGAUGGAUAACGGUGAUAUUUUUCGUUUUAAUGAGGAAAUAAUGGGACUCAAACAGAGCCUGAGUUAAGUCCGGUGCACUACAUAUAUGUAAAUGUGUGGUAAAAUCUACAUGGUUAUAGGAUCACCAAAGCUUCACAUA